AAUUUAUAACCAGUAAACAUGUCUGUUAUACAUUAUUUCUCUCCUCUCUCUUGUGUCCAAAAAAAACAUGCAAAAUUGAAAGGUAAAUAACAUUUUAUACAUCACAGAGUUUUCCGCUAUUAUAUGCAAUAAUUCUCUUGUUAGAAAAUGACCUAUAAAAUAUACGAAGACGAAGGAUGACGCAGAAAAUUCUAGAAUUUUCUGGAACAGUUAUUCAAUUUCAAACCUUAAAAUACAAGCAUAUGGGCGCAAAAUGCAAAGAAUAAAGGAUUCUAUAGAAAGAAAAAUUACACACUGUGCAAGGAAUUUUUUCGAUUUUCGAUAUUUAUGGCUUUAUGAACAUUUGAAUUCGGAUAUUUGUGACCACGCCAUACAAAUAAGGAACAAUCGACAAACCAAUUGAAUUGGUUAAUUGGUUUAUUUAACCCUGACAAAAUAUACCGCAUACGUACCAGAUAGACUUAUAGUUAAUCAAUUCAGGUGAAACUGGUGAGUGAAAACUUGAUGUAAUAAGUCUUCUAGCGAUCAAUUUCAAUAAAACUGCUGUUAACACAAGUUGUCCGUUAUCAAUAAGAAUAUUUUGGAAUCAAAAGGAAGACUGAAAAUUUUU